rnacentral:lncRNA from 1 species
CUUCCUCAAGCAAGAGGAUUGGCAACGGAUGUUUGCUCAGGGUGAAUCUUCCUCAGCAAAACAAAACAAAACGAAAACCAGCAGUUCCUUCGUGCUGGGCGCUUUCCAUAUGUUCUCCUAUGUAAUCCUCACACCAAGCCUGAAAGGCAGAGUUUAUUAUCCAUCUCAGGCUGUAUCUCCCAAGGAUGACAGAGUUUGGGGGUGGAAAAAUCAUGAUCUGUAAUUGGAGGCCGUGGCUCCAGCCCUUCCUAAGACUGCAAUUCACCCAGCUUCUCCUAGCCUCAGUUCCCUCACCGGUAAAACUGGAUGAAUGCCAGCCCUGCUCCCCCGGGUCAUCGCUGGAAUCAAGCCUCCACGGAGAACUUCCUGGGGGACCCUGGGUUCCUCCUGCAACCAGAAAGCCCACGGCCAAAGGCAAACCUCCCUGACUACCACACCUUCCCUGGAAUGCCCCCUUUAGAGUUUCCUUCCAGAACCUUCUGUCAAAGUGCAAAUAUCCUG